AGAGUUAGGGAGACUAUCGCCGGUACGAAGGUACGGGAGGAAAGUCCGGGCUCCACAUGGCAGCUUAGCGGGUAACGCCCGUCCACCGUGAGGUGAGGACAAGUGCAACAGAAAGAAAGUACAGGGGUUUGAACGAGAUUGGGGUAGCUUCGGCCGGCCAAUCCGUGAAGGGCAACCUACCUGCUGUAGUGAAAACAGGUAAACUCUAGGCGGUGCAAGUUUGAAUAGGUUCACAUUUUGGGGGUAGCCAGCUUCCGUGAACGGGUUAAGCGCUUGAGCCUAGGAGUAAUUCUAGGCCUAGACGAAUGAUAGUCCAAUACAGAACCCGGCUUAUACCCUAACUCUUUUU
rnacentral:RNase_P_RNA from 1 species